rnacentral:misc_RNA from 1 species
UUGUGGAGGAGGACGCCGAAGGUGGGGCUAAUGACUGGGGUGAAGUCGUAACAAGGUAGCCGUACCGGAAGGUGCGGCUGGAUCACCUCCUAACAGGGAGACAACAAAAUGUUAAAUAUUAAUUUUGUCACCUUAGGUCGAUCGGUAUCUCACAUUCUUAAUUUAUUAAGAAUUUUUUUCCUAAGUUUUUUCUAGGUCACACCCAUCAUUUCCCUGGGCCAUUAGCUCAGGUGGUUAGAGCGCACCCCUGAUAAGGGUGAGGUCCCUGGUUCAAGUCCAGGAUGGCCCAUAUCUCUAUGUUGGGGGUAUAGCUCAGUUGGUAGAGCGCCUGCUUUGCAAGCAGGAUGUCAGCGGUUCGAGUCCGCUUACCUCCACUGAUUACCACCUCUUCCAUAAUUUGCAGAAGGGAAUUUUUUGAUGUGUGAUCAAAUUCUGAACGAAUCUAGCUUCCUAAUUAAAAACUUAUUAAGAUGCUGGACUCAUUGAAUUAAUUUCAUUGUUUUCAGAGAACCUUGACAACUGCAUAGAUUUUUUUAAAGACAAUAAGCAUCUUUAAUGAUGCAGAUUUAUUAUUUGUGCGAAUGCAUUAAUAACAAUUCUAUUAAGCUGAUGCUUCAAUUUUGAAGUUAUUGGUCAAGCUACAA